rnacentral:rRNA from 1 species
AUUGAACGCUGGCGGCAGGCCUAACACAUGCAAGUCGAGCGGAUGAAGGGAGCUUGCUCCUGGAUUCAGCGGCGGACGGGUGAGUAAUGCCUAGGAAUCUGCCUGGUAGUGGGGGAUAACGUCCGGAAACGGGCGCUAAUACCGCAUACGUCCUGAGGGAGAAAGUGGGGGAUCUCCGGACCUCACGCUAUCAGAUGAGCCUAGGUCGGAUUAGCUAGUUGGUGGGGUAAAGGCCUACCAAGGCGACGAUCCGUAACUGGUCUGAGAGGAUGAUCAGUCACACUGGAACUGAGACACGGUCCAGACUCCUACGGGAGGCAGCAGUGGGGAAUAUUGGACAAUGGGCGAAAGCCUGAUCCAGCCAUGCCGCGUGUGUGAAGAAGGUCUUCGGAUUGUAAAGCACUUUAAGUUGGGAGGAAGGGCAGUAAGUUAAUACCUUGCUGUUUUGACGUUACCAACAGAAUAAGCACCGGCUAACUCCGUG